rnacentral:snRNA from 1 species
GCUCACUUUGGCAUGCUUGUGUUAAAAUUGGAACUGUAUAGAGAAGAUUAGCAUGACCCCUGUGUGAGAAUGACAUCAUUUAUGAUGCAGUCCAUAUUUUU